UCCAUCCCAAGCUUCAACAUCCACACGAGUCCUUCUUCUCUCAAACAAAAACAAAUCCAGCGACGAUGUCUGGGCGCGGCAAGGGCGGCAAGGGGCUGGGAAAGGGCGGCGCCAAGCGCCACCGGAAGGUCCUCCGCGACAACAUCCAGGGCAUCACCAAGCCGGCGAUCCGGAGGCUGGCCAGGAGGGGCGGCGUGAAGCGCAUCUCCGGCCUCAUCUACGAGGAGACCCGCGGCGUCCUCAAGAUCUUCCUCGAGAACGUCAUACGCGACGCCGUCACCUACACGGAGCACGCCCGCCGCAAGACCGUCACCGCCAUGGACGUCGUCUAUGCCCUCAAGCGCCAGGGCCUCAAGCAGCCCACAUUUCUCUCUAAAAAAAAAGCUUAUGCCCCCACCUCCGCCACGUCACCGAUCCGCACCACCAGCCUCCCACCGCAUCCCACCUUCCGAUCGCAAUCCAACGGCCGAACUCCAGCAUCCCACGGAUCGACCCAGCAGAGAGCAGAGACCUCCCGCCUCCAACUCCCGAAAAUUUCGGGGCUUCCCUCGCAACCCCACCCCAUAUAAAGCCGUCACCUCCGAUUCCCCAAUCCAUCCCAAGCUUCAACAUCCACACGAGUCCUUCUUCUCUCAAACAAAAACAAAUCCAGACACGAUGUCUGGGCGCGGCAAGGGCGGCAAGGGGCUGGGAAAGGGCGGCGCCAAGCGCCACCGGAAGGUCCUCCGCGACAACAUCCAGGGCAUCACCAAGCCGGCGAUCCGGAGGCUGGCCAGGAGGGGCGGCGUGAAGCGCAUCUCCGGCCUCAUCUACGAGGAGACCCGCGGCGUCCUCAAGAUCUUCCUCGAGAACGUCAUACGCGACGCCGUCACCUACACCGAGCACGCCCGCCGCAAGACCGUCACCGCCAUGGACGUCGUCUACGCGCUCAAGCGCCAGGGCCGCACCCUCUACGGCUUCGGAGGCUAGAUCUGCAGUGGAGCAACUUCCUCGUUUGCUCUGUGUGAUAUGUGCUGUGCUGGAUGGAUUUACCGAUCUGGUGUGCGUCGUUGUAUUCUGUCUUUGGGUUGAGUAGGCUGUGUAAUACCUUGUUCUGUUCAAUGCAAUCAGUUCGAUUCUGAA